UUAGCCGGUAACAUUAAACUUUAUUCAAAGAAAAUCCAUUUACAGAAUCAAAAGAUAUGACAGAAUUUGUAAUAUAAAUUUUUGCGUAAAAUUCUAUUGGCCGAGCCUGACUUUUCGCAUGAAGGUUCAUAUUUAAGAAAUUGUACCGCAUUAAUGUAAUUUGUUAGAGACAUGUCAAACCUAUAUGACUGUAUUUGUAUAACACUAAAUUACUAGGAAAUGAGUAUAAAGUUUGGCUUAACUUAAAUUUUGGAUUCAAGAUAAGAAAUGUCAAAAAUGGGAACUGGUUGAUGGAUAUGGAUGAAACUUUGCAUCAGUGUUGUGUUUAUGAAUAGAAUUCAGGAAAAUAAAGGAUUACUGACAGACCAUGCAGUUGCCAAAGCCUGGGUUUGAGUAUAUGACCUUACCUUAUCCUGGUAAAGAUCUAUAGAAGGACUCCUUCAGCUCUGUUUGGCAGCAGCUUUGUCAGGACACAUUGAGAAGAUAAGAAAUGUCAAAAAUGGGAACUGGUUGAUGGAUAUGGAUGAAACUUUGCAUCAGUGUUGUGUUUAUGAAUAGAAGUCAGGAAAAUAAAGGAUUACUGACAGACCAUGCAGUUGCCAAAGCCUGGGUUUGAGUAUAUGACCUUACCUUAUCCUGGUAAAGAUCUAUGGAAGGACUCCUUCAGCUCUGUUUGGCAGCAGCUUUGUCAGGACACAUUGAGAAGAUAAGAAAUGUCAAAAAUGGGAACUGGUUGAUGGAUAUGGAUGAAACUUUGCAUCAGUGUUGUGUUUAUGAAUAGAAGUCAGGAAAAUAAAGGAUUACUGACAGACCAUGCAGUUGCCAAAGCCUGGGUUUGAGUAUAUGACCUUACCUUAUCCUGGUCAAGAUCUAUAGAAGGACUCCUUCAGCUCUGUUUGGCAGCAGCUUUGUCAGGACACAUUGAGAAGGAACUCAUUUGUUGGUGGAAGGAUUAAAGAUGUACUACCCACCAGCUGUCAGGAGUUUUUAAAGUGGUGAAUUUAAACAGUGUUACAACAGAAUGAAGAUUUCUGAAAAAAGUAGAUGGCUAACCUAUUAUAUUUUGGGCAUCAUUUGACUUAGAUAGUGUUAAUGUUUAAAGUUGAAGACAGUAUAUAAUUCAUCAAGAACAUUGGAAUCCAGAAUUAAACCUCAAAUUUGACUGAUUUACUAUAGAACUAAUAGUACGAAAAUUCACCGGGCCGAGUCCAAGAUAAGAAAUGUCAAAAAUGGGAACUGGUUGAUGGAUAUGGAUGAAACUUUGCAUCAGUGUUGUGUUUAUGAAUAGAAGUCAGGAAAAUAAAGGAUUACUGACAGGAAUUGGGGAGUGUGUGGUUUCAGAUUGGUUACAUUGGUAAAAAAAGUGAUUGGCAAGCUCAUUCCAGAGCUCUCUAAGGGGCCCAAGAUUCACCGGCCAUGGGAUUCGAACAAGCACCAUAGUAGCCUAUUGCUCAUAUGGACCACACAUUAUAUGUUUUGAUGUUUCAGCAAAGGAUUGAUGCUGUAGUAAUCAACCAUGCAGUUGCCAAAGCCUGGGUUUGAGUAUAUGACCUUACCUUAUCCUGGUAAAGAUCUAUGGAAGGACUCCUUCAGCUCUGUUUGGCAACAGCUUUGUCAGGACACAUUGAGAAGGAACUCAUUUGUUGGUGGAAGGAUUAAAGAUGUACUACCCACCAGCUGUCAGGAGUUUUUAAAGUGGUGAAUUUAAACAGUGUUACAACAGAAUGAAGAUUUCUGAAAAAAGUAGAUGGCUAAC